AGUGUCUUUCGCAUCAUCGUUCCACAAUCGUACUUUUGACUUGGACAAGUGCGCGUGAAGCGAAUGCUUGCACUGCAUCGAUGUGCUUGCUCAGAUUGGACGCACUAGCCUCUAGUGUUGGCGUAUGGGCGUUAUUCGCCAACUGAGCCAUACAACAAGAAGGCUUGGACAAGCAAGCUGGAGAGUGCUCGGAAGAAAAAGCAAAAAGGUAUUGUCGAUGGAAAGUAUUGCAGGUACAAAUCCGUUUAUUUCGAAGGAGAAACAACUGCUUGGUCAUGUGUUUUAUCGUUGAGAAAUGCGAAAUCAUACAAUCAGUAAAACACAUUUUGCGAAACAGUUCUCACGCAUAUAAUCAAAGUUGAACGAUAAUAUCCAUUAAAAUGUGAACUCACAUGAAGAUUAAAAUCUUCUUUAUGUUAAAACGAUUUAUAAUACAUGCGUCUUUGCAGACAAGAUUUGUUUCCUAAACUCUUAGAAAUCUCGCACAUAUUCACGAUCGCGAUUAUCCGACACUUAUUGUACGCUCAGCCGGUAGCUUGUGCAAAAGUAGCUGCACUGCUGUACAUUCAGAAAUUGCUUCUUUAGUAUUCUUAAUAGUCUAGGUAACGGGUACAUGUGCAACAGAGAUAAAGUUAUCUACAGAUGUAGUCACUAGCCAAAGUUGCCAAAGGUAUUCU